AAACAGAUCAGCACAGAAAAGGAAACAGUUGAGAACCUUCAACAAGCUACUGCCGACAAUAUCUUGGUUGAAGAAGCAACUAAAAUGAUCCACCAAGAACGUAAGAUCAAGGUUGAAGAAAAUCAACGAGAUAAUGAAGUCACAAAUGGACAGGUCGGAUAGAGAAUCAGACAACUUGCUUUCCUUUUUUGAGUUUUUAUUUAUUUUUUGCUUUUCUAAAAAGUGUAGAAACAUUUAUAAUUGUUAACUGAGAGGGAAAAAAUAACAGAUCAUGGAAGAGAAUGAUGACAAGAAAUGUGAGGAAAUAACCAACGAUGAAGACAGAGCUAAAGAGAGCUACCAAGAUCACGAGAUAAAGGGUGCAGAAAGUCUCGGAGACGAGGCAUUGACAACGGCAACACAAGAUGAAAGAGUAAGACUGUAACUAGUAAAAUUUAUUUACGUUCCAAGUAUUUCCAUUAUUAUGAAGUUUAAACCUUUAUUUGAAAUACAUAUAUGCAACAACAUCAAAAAGACUAAUGCAAGUGACACAAUUGAAAAACAGAUCAGCACAGAACGGGAAACAGUUGAACAUGAGAUCAAGGUUGACGAAAGUCAAGGAGACAAUGAAGUCACAAAUGAACAGGUUGGAUAGAGAAUCAGACAACUUGCUUGCUUUUUUUUUUUUUUUUUGCUAUUCUAAAAAGUGUAGAAACAUUUAUAAUUGUUAAUUAAUAACAGAUCAUGGAAGAGAAUGAUGACAAGAAAUGUGAGGAAAUAACCACUGAUGAAGACGAAGCUAAAGAGAACCACCAAGCUCACGAGAUAAAGGGUGCAGAAAGUCUCGGAGACGAGGCAUUGACAAAGGCAACACAAGAUGAAACAGUAGGACUAUAACUAGUGAAAUUUGUUUACAUUCUGAGGAUUUCCAUUAUUAUAAAGUUUAAGCCUUUAUUUGAAAUACAUAUAUGCAACACCAUUGAAAAGAGUACUAAUGCAACUGAGACAAUUGAAAACAGAUCAGCACAAAAGGGGAAACAGUUGAGAACAUUCAACAAGCUACUGCAGACAAUAUCUUGAUUGAAGAAGCAACUAAAAUGAUCCACCAAGAACAUGAGAUGAAGGGCAAAGAAAUUUUAGCAGAUGAUAUAUUAGCAAAGGAAGUGGUAAGACUAAAUGUCUUGAAUCUUGUUGUUGUCUAUUUCCUAACCUCUUCAUUAGUGUAAAGUAGAAACCUUUCAUGUAAAAUACAAUUAUGCAAGGCAACUGGAAAUACUGAUUCAAACAAUACAUUUGAGAAACAGAUCAGCACAGGGAAAGAAACAAUUGAGAACCUUCGCCAAGGUAUUCUUGACAAUGUCUUAAGUGAAGAAGCAACUAAAGUGAUCCACCAAGAAUAUGAGAUAAAGGGUGAAGAAAUUCUAGGAGAUAAAGCGUUAGUAGAGGAAACGCGAAGUGAAGCG
rnacentral:lncRNA from 1 species